rnacentral:rRNA from 1 species
UACGGAGGGUGCAAGCGUUAUCCGGAUUCACUGGGUUUAAAGGGUGCGUAGGCGGCGCGGUAAGUCACUUGUGAAAUCUCUGAGCUUAACUCAGAACGGCCAAGUGAUACUGCAGUGCUAGAGUGUGGAAGGGGCAAUCGGAAUUCUUGGUGUAGCGGUGAAAUGCGUAGAUAUCAAGAGGAACACCUGAGGUGAAGACGGUUGCUGGCCAACACGUGACGCUGGAGGCGCGAAAGCCAGGGAGCAAACGGG